rnacentral:rRNA from 1 species
UACGUAUGGAGCAAGCGUUAUCCGGAUUUACUGGGUGUAAAGGGAGUGUAGGUGGCCAGGCAAGUCAGAAGUGAAAGCCCGGGGCUCAACCCCGGGACUGCUUUUGAAACUGCAGGGCUAGAGUGCAGGAGGGGCAAGUGGAAUUCCUAGUGUAGCGGUGAAAUGCGUAGAUAUUAGGAGGAACACCAGUGGCGAAGGCGGCUUGCUGGAUUGUAACUGACACUGAGGCUCGAAAGCGUGGGGAGCAAACAGG